GACGUAGGGGGCCAGCGUUGUUCGGAAUUACUGGGUGUAAAGGGUUCGUAGGCGGUGUGGCAAGUCGGGAGUGAAAUCUCGGAGCUCAACUCCGAAACUGCAUUGGAAACUACCUUGCUCGAGGGUUGGAGGGGGGACUGGAAUGCUUGGUGUAGCAGUGAAAUGCGUAGAUAUCAAGCGGAACACCAGUGGCGAAGGCGAGUCCCUGGACAACUCCUGACACUGAUGCACGAAAGCUAGGGGAGCAAACAGG
rnacentral:rRNA from 1 species